GAUGAACGCUAGCGGCAGGCCUAACACAUGCAAGUCGAGGGGUAACUAGAGUGAUAGCAAUAUUACUUUGGCUAGACCGGCGCACGGGUGCGUAACACGUAUGCAAUCUACCUUAUACUGGGGAAUAACUACGAGAAAUCGGCGCUAAUACCCCAUGACCUUGCGAAGAGGCAUCUCUUUGCAAUUAACGCUCCGGCGGUAUAAGAUGGGCAUGCGUCCAAUUAGCUAGUUGGUGAGGUAACGGCUCACCAAGGCUACGAUUGGUAGGGGUUCUGAGAGGAUGAUCCCCCACACUGGUACUGAGACACGGACCAGACUCCUACGGGAGGCAGCAGUGAGGAAUACUGCGCAAUGGACGAAAGUCUGACGCAGCCAUGCCGCGUGCAGGAUGACGGCCCUAUGGGUUGUAAACUGCUUUUGUACGGGAAUAAACCCUUCUACGUGUAGGAGGCUGAAGGUACCGUAAGAAUAAGCACCGGCUAACUCCGUGCCAGCCGCCGCCGUAA
rnacentral:rRNA from 1 species